rnacentral:rRNA from 1 species
GCUCAGAAACUUAAAGGAAGUUGACGGGGAGCACUACAACGGGUGGAGCCUGCGGUUUAAUUGGAUCAACGCCGGAAAUCUCACCCGGGGCGACAGCAAUAUGAAGGUCAGGCUGAAGACCUUACCCGAUUAGCUGAGAGGUGGUGCAUGGCCGUCGUCAGUUCGUACUGUGAAGCAUCCUGUUAAGUCAGGCAACGAGCGAGACCCACGUCCACAGUUGCCAGCAUACCCUCCGGGGUGAUGGGUACACUGUGGAGACCGCCGCUGCUAAAGCGGAGGAAGGAGUGGGCAACGGUAGGUCAGUAUGCCCCGAAUCUCCCGGGCUACACGCGGGCUACAAUGGUUGGUACAAUGGGCAUCUACCCCGAAAGGGGAAGGAAAUCUCUUAAAGCCAAUCGUAGUUCGGAUUGAGGGCUGCAACUCGCCCUCAUGAAGCUGGAAUCCGUAGUAAUCGCGUUUCAACAGAACGCGGUGAAUACGUCCCUGCUCCUU